GACGAACGCUGGCGGCGUGCUUAACACAUGCAAGUCGAGCGGUAAGGCCCUUUCGGGGGUACACGAGCGGCGAACGGGUGAGUAACACGUGGGUGACCUGCCCUCAGCUCUGGGAUAAGCCUGGGAAACCGGGUCUAAUACUGGAUAUGACUCCAUGACGCAUGUUGUGGGGUGGAAAGCCUUGUGCGGCUGAGGAUGGGCCCGCGGCCUAUCAGCUUGUUGGUGGGGUGAUGGCCUACCAAGGCGACGACGGGUAGCCGGCCUGAGAGGGCGACCGGCCACACUGGGACUGAGACACGGCCCAGACUCCUACGGGAGGCAGCAGUGGGGAAUCUUGCGCAAUGGGCGAAAGCCUGAUGCAGCAACACCGUGUGGGCGAGGAAGGCCUUUGGGUCGUAAAGCCCUGUUGUUGGGGACGAAGGUCGAAGGGUUAAUAGCCCCUAGACUGACGGUACCCUUCGAGGAAGCCCGGCUAACUACGUGCCAGCCGCCGCCGU
rnacentral:rRNA from 1 species